CCGACAGUCAGGACCUCUAGCAGCGUCACCGCUGCUGCAGCAGCAGCAGCAGCAGCAGCUUUUCUCCAUCCAUCCUUACCUCCACCCAGUUUCCGUCAACCUCAUGGAAGAGAACACAGAAGGGGUCGGACUUGGAGGCUACAUCUCGGUCCAGCAGGCUCGCUGCGGUGACGGACAGCUCCACCCGGGUGACGCAGUGCUGAGGUCCGACACUGCGCGGCGGGCCAUCAGUGGUGGAGCCCAGGGUGUAGGCCAUGGUCUGGGGUCACAAUGAUAUGUCCUGGAAUGCAGAGGAAUUUAAGUGUGUGUGUGUGUGUGUCUUCCACUGACAGAAGGCAAAAUGAUGAAUUUCAGAAAAAUACAAUUGGAGAGGAGAAUAAGCCGCUACCAACACGACGGGUGUCAAUAUCUGUUGCCAGGCAGAUUGCGUAUUUCCCAACAGAAAUCAGUUUACAGAGGGAGAUACACAUGAAGAUAUCAAUUUAAUGUUUAAUCACUUUAGAAGUAUGUGUAACAUAAAAAAAGAUUAAAAAGUGCACAACCUCUAAUGGCUUCAGUUAAUGAGAGUAAUGCUGCCGCCUUGCUUGAAAUACAGGAUUUAAACACAGCUGUAAACAUACGCAGAAUGAAAGGCCCUGUAAUGCACAUUGACCUUGUUGUAGAAUCUCUCUCUUACACACACACACACACACACACACACACAGACAGGCGCACAAAAACAACAAAAUCACUGCAAACAUAAAAGCGUCCAACAUGGAGACGCCGCAUGGAAGGGAAAAAAAAGGCGAGAAAACAUGCAUUUAUUUUUGUGUAAGAAAAACAUGUCAGAACAUGCUGUUCCCUGUAAUAACUCACAUUUGGAAUGAUUUCAGAGAGGCAUUAAGGACAGAAAAACCACAGAGCACCUUGUGUCCAUCUGGGUGGUUUUGUUCUCUGAGCGGCAAGCUAAAAGGAUGCUGUCUGUUGCUAAGAUACUAAUGUGUCAUAACCAGCGUGCUCCUGCCGGUCUACUCCUAUGAUGUCACUGGUAGUGGUGAUGUACUGAAAAUACUUUGUUUUGUUUUCUUUCUUUCAUUUUCUCACUCGGGGGUGAAAGGCCGUCUGACAUGGCUGAACAUGGUUGUAUCGAUUAAAGAUCCCACUGCCUUUUUUCCCUUUAUAUGAGCUCAUGAAAAAAAAAAAAAA